rnacentral:rRNA from 1 species
GAUGAACGCUGGCGGCGUGUCUAAUCAAUGAAAGUCGCGCGAACAGACGAGGAGCUUGCUCCUCUUACGUUAGCGGCUGUUGGGUUAGUAACACCUGGAAAUCCUACCUAUAAGACUUUUAUAACUUCUUGAUACCGGCGCUAAUCCCGGAUACUAUCUCUAACCGCAUGGUUCAAUAGUGCACGACGGUUUUGCUGUCACUUAUAGAUGGAUCCGCGCCGCAUUAGCUAGUUGGUAAGGUAACGUCUUACCAAGGCAACGAUGCGUAGCCGACCUGAGAGGGUGAUCGGCCACAGUGGAAGUGAGACGCGGACCAGACUCCUAAGGGAGGCAGGAGUAGGGAAACUGGAGCAAAAGGAGAGAGACGGACGGAGCAACACCGCGUGAGAGAUGAAGGGCUGCGGAUCGUAAAACGCGGUUAAUAGGGAAGAACAAAUGUGUAAGGAACUAUGCACGUCUUGACGGUACCAGAUCAGAAAGCAACGGCUAACUACGUG